AAUAGCGUAUAUUAAAGUUGUUGCAGUUAAAAAGCUCGUAGUUGGAUUUCUGUGAGAGUGCCGGUGUCGGCUGGUGCUUGUACGCAGGCGCUCUUACAUCCUUCUGUUAACUGUUCUUGGUAUUUUAUUGCUGGUUCAGGGCUCAGAUAUUUUACCUUGAGAAAAUUAGAGUGUUUCAGGCAGGCUUAUGCCGGAAUACAUUAGCAUGGAAUAAUGGAACAGGACCUGUGCGUCUCUCGGGGCGCCGGUCUCCGUUGUUGGUUUCGGGGACUAAUGUAAUGAUUAAUAGGGAUAGUUGGGGGCAUUAGUAUUUAAUAGUCAGAGGUGAAAUUCUCGGAUUUGUUAAAGACUAACUUAUGCGAAAGCAUUUGCCAAGGAUGUUUUCAUUAA
rnacentral:rRNA from 1 species